ACCUAGGAGAUAACAUGGAGGAGGGGGGGAACCUAGGAGAUAACAUGGAGAGGGAUGGGGGGAUAAAGUGCAUAUGUCAUACACAUUUUUGGCAAAGCUUUCAUGUACAGUACAAAUGUUUGUGUAUGCGAGGGAGAGUGUGUGUGUGUGUGUGUGUGUGUGUGUGUGUGUGUGUGUGUGUGUGUGUGUGUGUGUGUGUGUGUUUAGGGGGGUAACUCUUUGAAGGACUCGUUCUGUUUUAUUAAAGGGGAGGUUUCAGAGACCUACAUCCUGUCAAUAUAUUAAAGGGGAGGUUUCAGAGACCUGUUAUCAUCAUUCUAAAGACUACAUCCUGUCAAUAUAUUAAAGGGGAGGUUUCAGAGACCUACAUCCUGUCAAUAUAUUAAAGGGGAGGUUUCAGAGACCUGUUUUCACCAUUCUAAAGACUACGUCCUGUCAAUAUAUUAAAGGGGAGGUUUCAGAGACCUACGUCCUGUCAAUAUAUUAAAGGAGAGGUUUCAUUAUAAUACCACCAAAUAAAUCGGGCCUUGAAUUUCCUCAA